AAGAUUAUAUCGAGUUGUUGAUACCCAUCAGUUCCGACGAGUGAUACGACCGAGUUUACGAGGGGUAGUUAGAUCCCUCGUUGACUGGCAAUUAGAUGCCCUUUCUCU
ensembl:ncRNA F47F2.5 ncRNA